GACGAACGCUGGCGGCGUGCUUAACACAUGCAAGUCGAACGAUGAAGCCGGAGCUUGCUCCGGUGGAUUAGUGGCGAACGGGUGAGUAACACGUGAGCAAUCUGCCCUUGACUCUGGGAUAACUGCGGGAAACUGUAGCUAAUACCGGAUACGACACCUUGGGGCAUCCCAGGGUGUGGAAAGAAUUUCGGUCAAGGAUGAGCUCGCGGCCUAUCAGCUAGUUGGUGAGGUAAUGGCUCACCAAGGCGACGACGGGUAGCCGGCCUGCGAGGGUGACCGGCCACACUGGAACUGAGACACGGUCCAGACUCCUACGGGAGGCAGCAGUGGGGAAUAUUGCACAAUGGGCGAAAGCCUGAUGCAGCAACGCCGCGUGAGGGAUGAAGGCCUUCGGGUUGUAAACCUCCUUUAGCAGGGAAGAAGCGAAAGUGACGGUACCUGCAGAAAAAGCACCGGCUAACUACGUGCCAGCCGCCGCGGUAA
rnacentral:rRNA from 1 species